ensembl:lncRNA
GACGUUUUCAAUGGACAGUCACUUCAAGGGUGAAAGUGACAGGGGGUUAUAGAGCUCAUUGACAGGGGGUUAUAGAGUUAAUUGACAGGGGGUUAUAGAGUUAAUUGACAGGGGGUUAUAGAGUUAAUUGACAGGGGGUUAUAGAGUUAAUUGACAGGGGGUUAUAGAGCUCAUUGACAGGGGGUUAUAGAGUUCAUUGACAGGGGGUUAUAGAGUUAAUUGACAGGGGGUUAUAGAGUUAAUUGACAGGGGGUUAUAGAGUUAAUUGACAGGGGGUUAUAGAGUUCAUUGACAGGGGGUUAAAGAGUUAAUUGACAGGGGGUUAAAGAGUUCAUUGACAGGGGGUUAUAGAGUUAAUUGACAGGGGGUUAUAGAGUUAAUUGACAGGGGGUUAUAGGGUUAAUUGACAGGGGGUUAUAGAGUUCAUUGACAGGGGGUUAUAGAGUUCAUUGACAGGGGGUAUAUAUGAUGGAUAAAGACAGACAGAAAGACAGACAUACAGAAUGUAACUCCAAAGGGUUUUGUCUGUUCUGUGGUCUGUAUAAUGGAUGAUUAGUAUGAGGAGGUGGUCUGUAUAAUGGAUGAUCAGUAUGAGGAGGUGGGCUAUAUAAUGGAUGAUUAGUAUGAGGAGGUGGGCUAUAUAAUGGAUGACCAGUAUGAGGAGGUGGGCUGUAUAAUGGAUGACCAGUAUGAGGAGGUGGUCUGCAGUGGUCCUCCUGCCAGCAUUGAGCGGCGUCAUUUUCAGGUAAACAACAACAACAUUUCACAGCAUUAACAUCACAACAACCCCCAUUGACUUCCACUACACUGACACAUACUGGCAAUAUUUCAACAAUGCAAAAUAUGACUCAAGAGGACGUUUACAUUUAUCCUGUGGUGAACGCAAAACACAGGUUAGAAGACUAAGGGCAUCCCAAAUGACACCCCUAGAUAGAUAGUGCACUCCUUUUCACCAGAGCCCUAUUCCCUAGAUAGUGCACUUCUUUUCACCAGAGCCCUAUUCCCUAGAUAGUGCACUUCUUUUCACCAGAGCCCUAUUCCCUAGAUAGUGCUCUCCUUUUCAACAGAGCCCUAUUCCCUAGAUAGUGCACUCCUUUUCACCAGAGCCCUAUUCCCUAGAUAGUGCACUCCUUUUCACCAGAGCCCUAUUCCCUAGAUAGUGCACUACUUUUCACCAGAGCCCUAUUCCCUAGAUAGUGCACUCCUUUUCACCAGAGCCCUAUUCCCUAGAUAGUGCACUCCUUUCCACCAGAGCCCUAUUCCCUAGAUAGUGCACUCCUUUUCACCAGAGCCCUAUUCCCUAGAUAGUGCACUCCUUUCCACCAGAGCCCUAUUCCCUAGAUAGUGCACUCCUUUCCACCAGAGCCCUAUUCCCUAGAUAGUGCACUCCUUUCCACCAGAGCCCUAUUCCCUAGAUAGUGCACUCCUUAAGACUAUGGCUGGGGUGAAAAUAAGUACACCUUGUAAGGAAUAGGGUACCAUUUGGGAGGGAGCUGAGGGUUGGUCGUUGGCUUCAUUUGACUCCUCCAUCGUUGUAGUUCUUAACCCCAGGAGAGUUCUGCUUCAUGUUCACUCUCUGGAGGGAAGGAUGUGUUUAUGUCCUCAACCACACCCUAUUUACUGCAUGUCACAUGGUGAACAGGUAGAGAAUACACACAGGGCUGUCUUACAGAAGAGUGGGAAUUUUAACCAGCUCAGGAUGGGUGUCUGAUGUCUGGGCUACAGUCAGACAAACCUCCAUCCCCAUCAAUGGGAUUAGACCGGCCUGAACUGGGCAGGGACAAGACAGACAAGGACUAGGCUGGGACUAGAUGACCAGGACUGGUUGGGACUGGACCGACCAGGACUGGGCUGGGAUUAGACCGGUCAGGGCUGGGACUAGACUGACCAGGACUAGGCUGGGAUUAGGGAGGGUUUCACACCUGCCAAACAGAGGAUGUCCAUGACAACUUUGGGAUCCUCGGGGCCGAUGUUAUCAAGGGUAGAUGUGUCUGCUGUGCGUCCUAAAUGGCAAACUGUCUCCUAUGUAGUGAACUACCUCUGACAUCUGAUCUCAAAGAGGAUCAGGAUGUCAUGGCCUGGGUGGUGUUAGACAGCAUUCCAGACCUGGGUUAUGAAGGUCAACAGUGGCCCUAUUCCAGACCUGGGUUAUGAAA